AUGCCCGCCGCCGCCGCCGCCGCCUCCGGGACGGCCGUGGCUUCCUACACCGACUACAUCCCCGACUCCGUCAAGAGCUUCGUCUCCGACCUCUACCGCUCCAUCCGCGGCGGCGACGUGGUCGGGACCGACAAGCUGUACGAGGGCGACUUCCACCGCCUCUCCGCCCGCGUGUACCGCGACGCGCCCUGGCCGCCCGCCAAGGCCGUCGCGACCUACUGCGACGACGACCACGUCUUCCUCCUCCUCUACAGCGAGCUCACGUCCCGCGACGCCCACGCGCGCCUCCCAGGCCUCACCCUCACGCGCCGCGCCGACUCCUGGGACACCUACUGCUCCCUCUUCACCGUCGUCCUCCAGAACGCCCUCACCAUGCAGCUGCCCAACCAGUGGCUCUGGGACAUGGUCGAUGGGUUCGUGUCCCAGUUCCAGACAUUCUGCCAGUACCGCACCAAACUCGAGGACAAGACCGAGGAGGAGAUCAGCCUACUCCAGCGGUUCGACCAGGCAUGGAGUGUGUAUGGGGUUUUCAAUUACUUGAAGGCACUGGUGGAGAAUUCGAUGAUCAGAGAGGUCCUGGAGAGGGAGGAGCGGCUUGAGCAGUUCACGAUGAUGAAUGGGUAUGAGCACAAGCAGGGUGGGAGCAACGUGUUGAAGAUGCUGGGGUACUACAGCAUGAUUGGGCUGCUGAGGGUGCAUUGCCUGAUAGGGGAUUACCAUACUGGGCUGAGGUGCUUGUUGCCUAUAGAUAUUGGCCAGCAGGGUGUCUACACCACUGUGACUGGGAGCUACAUUUCCACUAUCUACUACUAUGGUUUUGCCAACUUCAUGAUGCGCAGGUAUGCUGACGUGAUACAUCAAUUCAACAAAAUUCUGCUGUAUAUCCUGAAGUAUAAGCAAUACCAUGAGAAGUCUCCGCAGUAUGACUUUGUGCUGAAGAAGAAUGAGCAGAUGUAUGCACUAUUGGCAAUCUGCCUCUCAUUGUGCCCACAGAACAAUCUAAUAGCUGAAGAUGUUAGCACUGAGCUGAAGGGUAAGUAUGGUACUGAAAUGGAAGAGAUGCUUAGAGGUGAUGGUGAGGCACAUUAUGAUGAACUCUUUUCCGUUGCCUGCCCCAAGUUCAUUGCUGCAUGGCCUCCAGUUUUAAAAGAGCCAUUUACAAACUACAACCAGGAUGUAUAUCGUCUUCAGUUGAAGCUGUUUCUUGAUGAAGUGAAGCAACAGCUAUUUCUUGGGGAUAUCAGAAGCUUUCUAAAAGUGUUUUCAGUGAUAACCAUUGGCAGACUUGCGCAGCACAUGAGAUUGGAUGAGAACGCUCUAAGGGCAAUCCUUCUGGCGUACACCCGCAAAACUCAUGCCGUUGACAACUACGGAAAGAUCACAUCCAGUGCAGACUUUGACUUCUAUAUUGAUGAGGAAACAAUUCAUGCUACUGAAUCCAAGUCAAGCAAGCACCACCAUGAUUACUUUUUGACGCAUAUUUCGAAGCUUGAGGAAGUGAUGGGCGAGUUGAGUGAGGUACAGCUAGCUGAGCCUGCAAUUUCCCCGGGUGAAGAAGCUUGCAUGCUUCCUUCUUACGACGGGGCGCACUGGCACUGCUGA
rnacentral:rRNA from 1 species